GAUGAACGCUGGCGGCGUGCCUAAAACAUGCAAGUCGAGCGGCAGCGAGUUCCUCGCUAAUGUUCGGAUUUGUUUACCAAUGAUGCAAGUAAUUUAGUCAGAGUAACAAAGUAACGACUAGUUGUUUAAGUUAAAAGGUAGAUUUAAUAUUCCGGAUAUGAGCGAGGAAUGUCGGCGAGCGGCGGACGGCUGAGUAGCGCGUAGGAACAUACCCCAAAGUGAGGCAUAACCGCCCGAAAGGGUGGCUAAUACCGCAUAUUGUCUUCGGAUGAAAGCUUUUAGCGCUUUGGGAAUGGCCUGCGUUUGAUUAGCUAGUUGGUGAGGUAAGGGCUUACCAAGGCGAUGAUCAAUAGCUGGUUUGAGAGAAUGAUCAGCCAGACUGGAACUGAGACACGGUCCAGACUCUACGGGAGCAGCAGUUGGAAUUUCCACAUGGGCAAAGCCUGAUGGAGCAACGCCGCGUGCAGGAAGAAUGCCUUCGGGUUGUAAA
rnacentral:rRNA from 1 species